rnacentral:lncRNA from 1 species
GUGAGGUGACCAGUCCUCUGUGAGUUGUCCUGUUUUUUGUGAGGUUUCCAGGGCUCUGUGAAAUGAUCAGGUCUCUGUGAGAUGACCCAGUCCUCCUUGAGGUGUCUCAUCCUCUGUGAGGUGACAAGGCCUCUGUGAUGUGACAAGCCCUCUGUGAGUUGACCAGUCCUCUGUGGAGGCGUACCUUCUUCCCCAGCUGCUGUUCUGUUCCAAAGGACGAUGCUGGCAAGUCCCAAACCCUCUCCAGCUAUCAUGAUGAACACCUUGCAGAAGAAAGAAGUCUGGAGCAGAGAAAGAUGACUGGAUGGGGCAGCUGGGAAGGGCUCUUACCACCAAGUCAUAAGGCCCAACUUUGAUCCCUAAAGCUCACACAGCAAAGGAGUGGGACAGCUCCUGAAAGCUACCCUCUGACCUCCACCUUAUGCCUCCUUCACAAAGAAACAAAUCAAGAUAAAUAAAUAAAUGUAUGCAGUUUA